rnacentral:rRNA from 1 species
AACGAACGCUGGCGGCAUGCCUAACACAUGCAAGUCGAACGAGACCUUCGGGUCUAGUGGCGCACGGGUGCGUAACGCGUGGGAACCUGCCCUUAGGUUCGGAAUAACUCCCCGAAAGGGGUGCUAAUACCGGAUAAUGUCUUCGGACCAAAGAUUUAUCGCCUUUGGAUGGGCCCGCGUUGGAUUAGCUAGUUGGUAGGGUAAAAGCCUACCAAGGCGACGAUCCAUAGCUGGUCUGAGAGGAUGAUCAGCCACACUGGGACUGAGACACGGCCCAGACUCGGACGGGAGGCAGCAGUAGGGAAGACUCCGCAACGGGCGACAGCCGGAUGGGGCAAAGCCGCGUGAGUUAUGAAGGUCUUCUGAUCGGAAAACACUGUUAUGAGGGAAGAACAACUGGCUAAGUAAAUAUGCACGUCGUGACGUUACCUAAUAAGAAAGCCAGGGCGAACGACGAG